AUCAUUCGCAUAACGAAUACGAAUGCAAAUAUUCGCAACAUCCUUCGUACAUACAUAUAUAGGUAAAUUGUAAACUGGCCAGCGGCACUUCUGAGGGUUCUCUUAAUUGGAUGGACCUCUAACAUGGUUGGUACAUUUUAAUCGCAUAUAUUUUUUACGCCAGACUGACCGAAACAGAGCUGAAGGCCGAAAAAUGAAUACGUGAACAUGUAAAUAUGUAUGUAUGUAUGUAUGUGCAUAUGUAUGUGUCGCAGCACGCCCUUUCUACGGUAUAAUGUCGACGCUUAAACAUGCAUAUGUACAUAUGUCUGCGCAUCUCUAUGUACAUACAUAUGUACGAACAUGAAGCCAAAGUACAUACAUGGAUGCAGUUAUUACAUUUCUUCUUUGUAUCCGUACUAUUUGUUUGUGUAAAAUUACCGCACUGCGUCAUUCUUCUUUGCCUUUAUAUGCAUAUUCGCAUGAGCUUUUGCAAUUAACCUUUGCGCAUCGAGAACGAUAGGUUUAUGUAGCUCUGAGCGCGCAUAAUUGAAGCUGUUAGCCGUCGUCAAGCAAAGAAGAAGGACACACUGCGAAAUAAACCAGCCUUUGCGCCAAUCCAGCCCGAUUAAGGUUAAAUUCGCAAGCGUUUUUAUUAACUGAGAACGACGGUUAACAGUAUGUAUGUAUGUACCCCCCAGUAGAAAUCGGUUGUAUGCAUUCGUGAAGAA